rnacentral:rRNA from 2 species
UGGGGAAUAUUGGACAAUGGGCGAAAGCCUGAUCCAGCAAUGCCGCGUGAGUGAUGAAGGCCUUAGGGUUGUAAAGCUCUUUUACCCGGGAUGAUAAUGACAGUACCGGGAGAAUAAGCUCCGGCUAACUUCGUGCCAGCAGCCGCGGUAAUACGAGGGGAGCUAGCGUUAUUCGGAAUUACUGGGCGUAAAGCGCACGUAGGCGGCUUUGUAAGUAAGGGGUGAAAGCCCAGAGCUCAACUCUGGAAUUGCCUUUUAGACUGCAUCGCUUGAAUCCAGGAGAGGUGAGUGGAAUUCCGAGUGUAGAGGUGAAAUUCGUAGAUAUUCGGAAGAACACCAGUGGCGAAGGCGGCUCACUGGACUGGUAUUGACGCUGAGGUGCGAAAGCGUGGGGAGCAAACAGG